CCCUUAGAUGUUCUGGGCUGCACGCGCGCUACACUGAAACGUUCAACGAGUAUUCACCUUGCCCGGGAGGGUUGGGUAAUCUUUUGAAAACGCUUCGUGAUGGGGAUAGAUUAUUGCAAUUAUUAAUCUUCAACGAGGAAUUCCUAGUAAGCGCGAGUCAUCAGCUCGUGCUGAUUACGUCCCUGCCCUUUGUACACACCGCCCGUCGCUCCUACCGAUCGAAGAGUUAGGUGAAUUGUUUUGAUCGAUAAGAUUUGACUAUGGUCAACUCUCGUUGUGAAAUUCUGUGAAUCUGACUGUUUAGAGGAAGGAAAAGUCGUAACA
rnacentral:rRNA from 1 species